UCCUCCUCCGCAGCAAAGCGCAGAAGCUCUGACGAGAAUGCGACGGCGGAGGAGCAGAGGAGGGGUGGAGCGGUGGUUGUGGAGCUCUUAUCAUCGCCUCAGCCGGAGCUGCUCUUCCACCUAGAAGUGUCGCCGUCGGAGUCGGCGGGGGAGCGGCCGGAAGUUUGGAGGGAAUCAUACCAUUACCAACGGUACAGUAUGAUUCAUCAUACCAACGAUUCGAUUAUUUACUUGAGGUGUGUAAGCAAGAGAGAUUGCUACUUCACAAAGAGGAACAGGAGGAUAACCAAGAAAAGAAAGGGUGC